rnacentral:rRNA from 1 species
AGAUGGCGACCGGCGCACGGGUGAGUAACACGUAUCCAACCUGCCGAUAACUCGGGGAUAGCCUUUCGAAAGAAAGAUUAAUACCCGAUGGUAUAAUCAGACCGCAUGGUUUGAUUAUUAAAGAAUUUCGGUUAUCGAUGGGGAUGCGUUCCAUUAGGCAGUUGGUGAGGUAACGGCUCACCAAACCUUCGAUGGAUAGGGGUUCUGAGAGGAAGGCCCCCACAUUGGAACUGAGACACGGUCCAA